rnacentral:rRNA from 1 species
UAACAGGUCUUUCGGGAUGCUGACGAGUGGCGAACGGGUGAGUAAUACAUCGGAACGUGCCGAGUAUUGGGGGAUAACUACUCGAAAGAGUGGCUAAUACCGCAGGAGAUCUAUGGAUGAGAGCAGGGGAGCUUCGGGCCUUGUGCUACUACAGCGGCCGAUGGCAGAUUAGGUAGUUGGUGGGAUAAAAGCUUACCAAGCCUACGAUCUGUAGCUGGUCUGAGAGGACGAUCAGCCACACUGGGACUGAGACACGGCCCAGACUCCUACGGGAGGCAGCAGUGGGGAAUUUUGGACGAUGGGCGCAAGCCUGAUCCAGCAAUGCCGCGUGCGGGAUGAAGGCCUUCGGGUUGUAAACUGCUUUUGUACGGAACGAAAAGUCUUGGGUUAAUACCCUGGGAUCAUGACGGUACCGUAAGAAUAAGCACCGGCUAACUACGUGCCAGCAGCCGCGGUAAUACGUAGGGUGCAAGCGUUAAUCGGAAUUACUGGGCGUAAAGCGUGCGCAGGCGGUUUUGUAAGACAGUGGUGAAAUCCCCGGGCUCAACCUGGGAACUGCCAUUGUGACUGCAAGGCUGGAGUG